ACUCCUGCGGGAGGCAGCAGUGGGGAAUUUUGGACAAUGGGCGAAAGCCUGAUCCAGCAAUGCCGCGUGAGUGAAGAAGGCCUUCGGGUUGUAAAGCUCUUUUGUCAGGGAAGAAACGGUGAGAGCUAAUAUCUCUUGCUAAUGACGGUACCUGAAGAAUAAGCACCGGCUAACUACGUGCCAGCAGCCGCGGUAAUACGUAGGGUGCAAGCGUUAAUCGGAAUUACUGGGCGUAAAGCGUGCGCAGGCGGUUUUGUAAGUCUGAUGUGAAAUCCCCGGGCUCAACCUGGGAAUUGCAUUGGAGACUGCAAGGCUAGAAUCUGGCAGAGGGGGGUAGAAUUCCACGUGUAGCAGUGAAAUGCGUAGAUAUGUGGAGGAACACCGAUGGCGAAGGCAGCCCCCUGGGUCAAGAUUGACGCUCAUGCACGAAAGCGUGGGGAGCAAACAGGAUUAGAUACCCGGGUAGUCCCA
rnacentral:rRNA from 1 species